UGGGCGGGCGCGGGAGAGAGCCUCUUCACAAGGAGGCCGCCGAAGGAGCAACCACCCCGGAAUCUCUCAGGCAAACGGGACCGCGCGCUGCCU
rnacentral:ncRNA from 1 species